rnacentral:rRNA from 1 species
CAGAAGGUAAUAGUCCUGUAUGUUAAACGAGAAGACUUUAGAUAUGAUCCAGAGUACCACGGGACACGUGAAACCCUGUGGGAAGCAGGAGGGACCACCCUCCAAGGCUAAAUACUACCUAGUGACCGAUAGCGUAUAGUACCGUGAGGGAAAGGUGAAAAGAACCCCGGGAGGGGAGUGAAAUAGAACCUGAAACCCUGCACUUACAAGCUGUGGAAGCACAUUUCUUGUGUGACCGCGUACUUUUUGUAGAACGGGCCAACGAGUUACGUUAAGUAG